AUUGAACGCUGGCGGCAGGCUUAACACAUGCAAGUCGAGCGGGGGAAGGUAGCUUGCUACCGGACCUAGCGGCGGACGGGUGAGUAAUGCUUAGGAAUCUGCCUAUUAGUGGGGGACAACAUCUCGAAAGGGAUGCUAAUACCGCAUACGUCCUACGGGAGAAAGCAGGGGAUCUUCGGACCUUGCGCUAAUAGAUGAGCCUAAGUCGGAUUAGCUAGUUGGUGGGGUAAAGGCCUACCAAGGCGACGAUCUGAAGCGGGUCUGAGAGGAUGAUCCGCCACACUGGGACUGAGACACGGCCCAGACCCCUACGGGAGGUAGCAGUGGGGAAUAUUGGACAAUGGGGGGAACCCUGAUCCAGCCAUGCCGCGUGUGUGAAGAAGGCCUUAUGGUUGUAAAGCACUUUAAGCGAGGAGGAGGCUACUUUAGUUAAUACCUAGAGAUAGUGGACGUUACUCGCAGAAUAAGCACCGGCUAACUCUGUGCCAGCAGCCGCGGUAA
rnacentral:rRNA from 1 species